GGUUGUGGCUCAGUGGCAGAGCACUUGCCUAGCACGUGUGAGGUACUGGAUUCAAACCUCAGCAUCA
rnacentral:tRNA from 1 species